rnacentral:rRNA from 1 species
UACGGGGGGUGCAAGCGUUGAUCGGAUUGACUGGGCGUAAAGGGAGCGUAGGCGGUCUGAUAAGUCAGUUGUGAAAUUCCGGGGCUCAACCCCGGAGCUGCGACUGAAACUAUUAGACUAGAGGGUAGUAGGGGAAAACAGAAUUCUGCAUGUAGCGGUGAAAUGCGUAGAUAUGCAGAGGAAUACCGGUGGCGAAGGCGGUUUUCUGUACUAUACCUGACGCUGAGGCUCGAAAGUGUGGGGAGCAAACAGG